ensembl:lncRNA
CUACAGCCCGUGCUCCUCCCAUUGAUGUGGGUGCACGCAGACUUUGCAGGGUCCAAGCUCUGCAUUUUAGUACUCAUUUUGAAUGAGUUUUCUUUAAAUCACGUUUAUUUUCGAUGUUGGCUUUCUCGGGACCGCAUUCAGGAUCUGAGCUUUCUGCAGGAGCAUCUUUGCCAAGAAACUCUUUCAGGAGAUAAUUUAAGGAAAAUGAGCACCAAAGAAUGGAAAUUACAGGAUUGAAUUCGCUUAAUUCAAAUGGAAAAAGUCUUCAUGGUUUCUACCCAGCAGUCAGAAUCCAAGACAACUCCUCAUUUUGUUGAAGAAUUGUCCAGAAAUGAAGAAGACUUUCCUGUCAGAGGGAGAUUUCUCUGCCAUGGAUCUCAUCUGGGUUCUGGAAACUACUGUUCCCCUGAGAAAAUGAAGGGAAUAUGGACCUCUCCAGGAGUCAAAUUUCUGUCUUUUGCAUACCUGCACUGAUUGGGCUUCCAAGGUGGGAGAUUUCUUACCUUCUCCUUUGGAUAGUAACAGCAGAGCAUUUGUUUGGUCCACCUUGCCCAGGGAGGAGGCUACCAUCAGCACUAGUGGGCAUGCAGGUUCAGAGAGAUGGGCAGGAUCUGCAUGAGCCUUGAACCAAGACUGCUGAACACGUCAGUAGGUGUUUUGCUUGACUUUACACUCCAUGUUUGGGCAUGUUUGAAAGCAGGCAAGGCAGUUGACUGAAUGCAUUCAGAUCUCCAGCCCAGAGGAGAUGACAAUUUAAUUUUGAAUCACAGAAUCACAGAGUAACACAGAAUCACAGAACUGCAGCGGUUGGAAGGGACCUCAUGAAAACGAAUCCAGCUCCCCUGCUAAAGCAGGUACCCUACAGCACGUUGCAUAGGUAGGUGUCCAGAUGGAUCUUGAAUAUUCCCAUAGAAAGAGACCCCACAACCUCUCUGAGCAGCCUGUUCCCCUUACUGUAAAGAAGUUCUUCUGCAAGUUGGUACAGAACUUCCUAUGUUCAAGUUUUAGGUAAUUGUUCCUUGUCCUGUUGUUACACACCACUGAGAAUAGACUGACCCCAUCCAUUUGCCUUUGACCUCCCUUUAGAUAUUUAUAAACAUUUAUCAGAUCUCUCCUCAGUCAUUUCACCAGGUGAACAGACCCAGGUUACUCAGACUUUCCUCAUAUGUGAGAUGGUCCAAGUCCUUUACCAUCUUUGUGGCCCUCCACCAGUCUCCUUCUAGGAGAUCCCUGUGUUUUUUGAACUGAGGAGCCCAGAACUGGACACAGUACUCCAGAUGUGGCAUCAUCAGGGCAGAGUAGAGGGGGAGGAUCACUUCUGUUGACCUGCUGGCCAUGCUGAUGACCAGCAGGAUGAGCUAAAAAAAAUAGGAGAUGAGGUUGCCCAUAGAUGCAACCCUCUUGGAGCUUCUCUAAAACAAGCCCAUCUGUUUGCUCAUAUUUACCCUGUCUGGAUGAUGCCACAGACUUUUUUGCAGCUAGCAUUUCCCAGUGUUGUUGAAUUCAGGGUGGAAAUAGUGGUGAAAACAUUUUCCUGGGACUCUUCCUCCCCUCUGAACUGAAAUGGAGCCCACCCCUGGCAAGAGAUGGGCAGGUGGAAGACAGCGUAAGUGUUGUGUGGAAAGGGACACUGACCUGCUCUGUCGCCUCUGAUGAAUUACUUCCACAAAGCAGCAACGUGGUUAUCUUUAACAAGAACUUUGUCCAGCACAGCGAGGCUUUCCUUCAGCUUCGCCACUGUGGAAUACUCUCAUAACUUUAAUUCAUAUCAGGGGUCGAUUGUGAGUUUAAAUAUAUGCAAUGCACUUUUAAGUCUUGUGCAAACAAAGACCAGACAGGGACUGGGACAAACUGAUGCAUGAGCAACCAUGUUGUUCCUUCUCCAGUCCAAGAACUGGAUUCUUUCACAAAAUCCUCUGUGUGGCAGUGAUAACAAGACAAAUAUUUGACAUAGCUGUAAGAUAACACUCUGACACGCUAGUAAACACAAGUGAAUUAGUGGUUAUGAGAGAGACCCCAUGACACAGUUGCUUGCAGUAAGUUGGAUGCCAUCUCUUAGAAGACUUCUUGCAACCUGUUCUUAUCGGUUUUUGGUACAGAUUAAUGGGGAGACUUCCAGUAGGAUUUGGGUUACUGUCUGGCAUAGACACUUUUGAAAAUCUUACCUUAUCUCUAUGUAAUGACUAUGUAAUUCAUGCAGUGUGUUGAAGGUACACUUGAAAAAGUAGGUCUGGAUCGUAAUAUCCCUCCCUGCAUCCUUCUUUCCCAUCAGGCCAAAAUGGCACACCUCUGUGUGUGCUGGAUUACAAUUUAUGCUGAAAAUGUUCCACAAAGGUCAUAGCAGCUAUCUGAGGAACAAGCAGAGCUGUGCACCCUGCCCUGUGCUCAUGUAGAUUACCAGAGGUAGCAAUAAGGCCAGGGACUGUGUGCAGUAAGGAAAACUAGAGAAACUUGGAAACUGCGCAGGCUUUAGAUUGUAGAGUGUUACGAAGGGCUCAGAUGGGAGAGUUUACCAGAAGAAGUGCAAUUUAGAAAUUGAAACAGAUGGAAUUUCAGUAUCCUUUGCAAAUUGGCGUAUCAGACUCCUACAAUAGCUUGCAGAAUCCUUGUCCCUCCCAGUGCAUAGCUGGUUCUUACUCCCUGAACUUGAUUUGUUAACAUCUGAUGUCGAAGGGUCUGUUUCUUAUUUUUGUUGAGUUAUACCUUAAAUGUGUCCUUUUUGGCUACUUAUGUUCUCAUUUCUGCAAAGCGGCAGCCAAGCAGGGGCCCAAGAGCUCAUUCCUGGCCUUCAGAUUUAUUCCCAUCGCUUUGAUGGGUUGAGUCUGGUGCUGCCUGUAUUGCAGAGCACCUGGAUGGGGCGAUCACAGGCAUUCACUGGCACUGUGAUCUCAGCUGUGGAAACAAUUUUGCUGGCAGCAGAAGCUCAGUUUCACUGGGGAGGGGCCCAUAUUUCUUGUUUGAAGUGUGUGAAGCCUCAUCACAGUUCUGUUAUCAGACCCACUGGAAUUUUUUCCUUUCCUCUCUUCUUGGUCCACCUUCUCUCAUUCCUCUAAAUCUUACUUUACUUCUGCUUCUUCUCAAAGUCUCUAAUGUUACUUUUCUGGCUCUUUUUUUCUGUAAUCUCUCCCUUCAUUUUUUCUUCACCCAUUAGCUCUUCCUUCACGAUGCUCCUCUACUGCCUCCUCCAUUUUCUCUGCCUCUCUUGUUCACUUUCCAGGUGCCUCUCAUUCUUCUCCCCAUGUCCUCACUUUCAUUUCUUCUCCAGAAGCUCUCUGAAUUGCUGCAGCUAUGGGGUAUACCCCUUGGAAAGAUAGCCCUGUCUGAGUUAGAGGUGCUGUGAGCUGCAGAUCUGUUGCUGAUGUUAGUAUUUUUUUUGACAAGUGACACAGGUGACACAAGUGACACAGGGGGCCCAUGGAGCCAAGUAGCGUAGCUGGGCAGUAGAAGGCAGCUUAUGCCACAAAAGACAUCACUUGCUCCAUGGACCAAAAGAGAUUACAGCCCCAUUCCGACACAUAAACCAUUGAGGUUUACUGAAAAUAAGGAUUGAUUUGCUGGGCUAUUUAGAGGCAUUAAGAUGCAGAUAUAUAUUUUCUCCCCAGUCUGAUGUCAUUUUGCAUGUUAACUGCCUAAUUCCUUUUAGCCUAUUGAUUUUACUGGUUUAUAAGAAUGACACUUGUGUAGAAACUGUGGAGAACUUUGCUCAGGGUGACCAGUGAAGACUGUCAGUUUCUCUCAGUCGUCUUAUGGGGGGACUGAAGGCUCAGCACAGUUUAAGAGGAGAAAAAAUAGGGAGAGAAAGAACAAUGGCACUUCAUAGACCAUACUCCUUAGGUUGUAUCUGACUCUGGCUAAAUGACCUGGACUGAAAAAUGUUUUCCUGAGGCUCAGCUCAGCUGACAUCUGCAGCAUGGUCCUCAUAUUUUGUGAUAGUCGAGAGUGGUAUUCAUGAAAUUCUGUGUCAACUUCUUUAGCAUAUUAAGAUUGAAGAAUGCUAUGAAGUAAGCAUGAAUAUCAUUAUUCAAUUUCUCUUCCUUCUAGUAACUCUGAUUUACUUCAGAUUUUACGUGAUCUCCCAAUUAUCAGAGUUUGAUGUGCCACAGGUGUUUCUAUAAGCAUACUGUUGUAUUGCUUUUCGUUCCUUGGAGAACAGUUGAUGCUUUGCCAAUGUCUGAAUGGACCUGCUAACUCUGAGAGCAAAGAAGUGGUUAAUUUGAUAAUAUUUAACUUGCUAAACCAUUCAUAUGCAGAGGUAACGUGCUCAGGAGUUGAACAGGGCAGUGCGAUCUCCCUUAGCUAUCAUUUCAGGAUGCCUGCAGAAUCAGGAAGGCCGUGUAUCAGCUUACACUCAACUUGGUAAUCUUGCAUGGGGCCUGUUUGUGUCUCUUGUGCUGAAGGCUGAAUGUAAAAUGAACAUUGUUAGCCAAGAAAGCAAAUAAAGGGAACUAUUUCCCAAGGCAUUUUACUCUGUUUAUUUAACGCCUCUGAACAAACCCCUUUCCACAUCCUCUGAACCUACUGGCAACUUCAGAUAGCUCCAUUUCCUGCUGGGUGAGUUUUUUCUAAAAUGUUUAUUCAGCUCCAGGAAAUGAUGAUUUCCUGAAUAUUCUGAAACUUCAUAUUUUUGUUGUAUCCCUGUUUAUUUAAUAGUCUUACUUAUUGUGUGAGUGUGCAAAGCACAACAACAUCCCUUGCCAUGUAACUGUGGAAGGAGUGGAACUUGAUGUAGUACAUCAAAAACCAGUUUAAGUGAAACUAGAUCUGUUUUUGCCAAUUUAUACACUAGUGUAUUUCCAUUAGCUUGAGUAGUUACUCCUUAUUUACACUGACCUUAAUGAGUUCAGAAGUAGGCUUUUAAAUUUCUCCUACUCCUUAAGAAAAAGUGCCUAAAAAUUCAAACUAGUGAAGGAGAAUUAAUUAGCCCAAAGCUCAACAUUUUAUAAUUCACAGCUUACAUUAAUGUCUGCUAGUUUUCUUUAUGCAGGAAACCAAUAGAAGGCACCAAAUGUUUUCGUCGCCCUCCGCUGGGACUAAAAUUGAGAAAUUCUUAUUUUGUGAGGUCAAAGCUAACCUGUAUCCAGCACCCCAUCCCAACAUGGGUUUCACUAAAGAGAUUGAAACCUGUACACAGCCUUAAUGAAAAGGCCAUAAUAUUUUAUGUGAACCAGGAGUAACUAUGCUGAAAUGAGAAGUGCUUCACUAAGGUAAAUCAAGUGGGAUUGGUCCCAAAAGAAAUUCAGGAAUUACAUAGCUUUGCCAUUAACCUUGAACUGAGCCAAGUGUGUCUUCCAUGCUUUCUCCUUCUUUCUUGUCUACUUUUUGUUAACCUGCAUGGUCAGCUAUGACUUUUUUUUUUUUUUUCUUUUCUUUUUACAGGCAGAAAAGGUAAUUUAUGUUUCUUCUGAGCCUCAAGAGACAAUAUGGGCAUGCUGCGUUACCAUGCCCUAAAUGAAAUCUUAGAGUACCUAAGUAAAACUCACUCCACCCUUACCUGGAAGUUCCACUCAUGGAAACCACAUCCUUUCAUUGCCACCCACGUCUCCAUUUGGAAAGGACUUUGAAGGAGGAAGACUGAAGAUUAGAUCAUUCUUUUAUUAAGCAUCCUUUUGUCUGUUUUGCUCCAGAAACCAUGCUCUUCCUCUCCUAUGAGUCAUUUGUUGUUACUCUUACAAUUUCUGUGGUAGGAAGGCUGGGUGCUUUCCCCCAAUUUAAAAUGUUCUUUUUAGAGUUUCUCUUCUCUUCUCUUCUCUUCUCUUCUCUUCUCUUCUCUUCUCUUCUCUUCUCUUCUCUUCUCUUCUCUUCUCUUCUCUUCUCUUCUCUUCUCUUCUCUUCUCUUCUCUUCUCUUCUCUUUUUUUUUCUUCUCUUUUUUUCUUCCCUUUCCUUCCCUUCCCUUCCACUCCCUUCCCUUCUCCUUUUCCUCUCCUCUCCCUUUCUUCUCCCCUCCCCUCCCCUCUCCUCCCUUCCUUCCUUCCAUGUCCCUUCUUUGUUUUUUGUUAUGCAUUUCAUAUUCAUUCACUAUUUUUACCCAAUUCAGACAGAGCCAUGCUACAUUGUGGACUGUUGCCAAAAAUUCUGCCAGUGACAAAGAUUGAAGCCUUCAUACGAACUGGAAGGAGUCUGUUCUUGGUCCACCCCAUGUGAAGCAACACUGUGCCCAUGCAUCUCUAUCUGAGAUGAAUAUUCUUUCUUUUGAUGCCAAGUAUUUGAUGUCCACCUACUGAGCUGAGUAAUCUCUGAGGAUGCCAUUGUUGCCAUGUUACCUCCUUCCUGAGUUCCUGUUGUGUAACUUUCCCACCAAGACUUCUCUCCUGACAACACUAACCCUAUGGAUAGUCCCCCCCAUGCUGUCUGUGAUCAUCCUACCAGGCCCUGCUGCCAGAUCCAAGCUUGCAAAUGGAAACAAGGUCUACAGCCUCGGUGAGGAAGCUGGCAUGGUGGGGUGUGUUAAGGCCCACAACAUAUUACAUGAUGAUGGAUUGAUGGGACCACAUCAAGGGGCCCUGAGAGCAAUGUGGCUCUUUGGGUAAGAGGAAAUGGCAGAAUCAGAGGAACAUCAUUAGUUAACCCACCCACAGUGCGGGAGAGACCUCAAAACCAACAAACAAUGGGUUAGAAGCUCACAGCUGGAGGUGGCAGCCCCAUAAUAACACCAGUGACAAAAAUCAAAGGAAUAAGAAGGAGCAGUUAACAUUUCCUCCACAAAUGCUAAAAACAGCACCAAAUAAUGUGUAUGAAUCAUCAUAUCUACUCUUACGCAAGCUGGAAUAAAAAUGUAAGAGUCAUGCAAACUGGGAUAAACUGUCACGCUCUGAGACAUAAUGCAUCUCCAGAAGUAAAGAAGAAACUGUUCCACAGGCAAGACUUGGCAUAAUUACACUCUGUGCGGGAUUUUGCACCUUUCUUUAAAGUAUCUGUGCUAACAACUGCCAGAGAUGACGUACCAAGCUGCAGAAGGCGUUUGGCUAACCUGCAGUGGCAGUGCCUAUCUCACUACUGGUUUAAUUCUGUCCCCCUUCCACUUUUUCACUACACACCCAUGCUACGAGACUGUAUGACAAAUGCCACUCAAAGGCAAGAGGUACACAUCCAGUAUUAGGUUUGUAAGGCAAUUAAAUUGUCCUUUUAAUGUUCUCUUAAUCACUGUGGUUUCUGUAGCGCCAUAUUAGAUACAUGUUGAAAUGAUGUCUUACUUCCACUGAUUAUACCAGUGUCCUUGUCUUUAAUGCAUUCACACUUCUGAAAGUUACUGCUCUUUUUGUCUUGUCUCCAGCUACAAUAUUCAGAAGACUAUGUUCUUAAAAGCAGCAAUUAGCACAUUGCAGUGGUACAGACGUCAACUAAUCCCCAUGGUGAUGAGAUCCCAAAGGCAAAGCAUGUGCUAACAAUCUGAACAAUACCAGGGAGCAUUUCUGGGCAUUGGGACUCAGUCAUCUAUAUUGCUAAAUUACCAGGAUCCCUCCAGGCACAUUUUCAGCCCAUCCUGACCACCAAUGUCAAACAGUCCCCAGUAUUGGAGUCAGCUUGGGACACUGACCAUUCCCCUCAAGCAGUUCGGAUGUGAUCACCCUCCCCUGGAGAGUUUCACAGUGCAGAUGAAAUGCAUCCCAUUCUGUGCCCAGGGGGCCUCCCUUCCAGAGGACAGCAAUAGAUGCAGUUAAUACAGUAAUGUUGAUAGCUGAGGUUCUCCCAUCUCAUAUUCACUUCUUGCUUUCAUUCCCUGUACUCAUGAAAUUCUUACUCUCGUCUGCCUUCUCUUCUGCUUUAUCACAUAGCGUGGUGUGAUGCCCAUGACUUAAGCAAGGAUAGCCAUCAUUCUUCGUGCUCCCCCAUAAGCAAGGUGUUUAGGGCUGCAGGACUCACAGGAUGCCCUGGGUUCUGGAUUUUCUUAUGUUUAGAAUCCCUUUCCUCAGAGCCAGGAACUACAGUGAUUUAGCAAACAGUGUGAUAUCUAAUAGCUAGCAAGCUGAGAGGUAUGGAACAGCCAACGGGGAAAGCCCUGCAAAAGAACAGAGUGAAUCCCAGAGCCACGGCUGGGUGCCUAUGGCUGCUACCUUUGGUGAAAACUGAUGGUGCCUGUCAUUUUGGGGGAUUAGGUUCUUGAACUAGCCCUGUCUUAGAGACUGUUAGGUAUAGAGGCAGGCCAGUAAAUGAUUUCUGGUUUCAGGAGUGGCUGGGGGGAUUAGUAUACACAUGUGUUUACAGCCUUGCAGUGGCAGUAGGUUGCCUAAAUGUUCUGUGGAUCAAACUACACAUCAGCCAGUGCUGAGAUUUACAGGGCUUCCUUGCAGUUCAGCUUAUUAUGGCCCAUGGUGCCUCACCACAGUUCUCCUGGCAAGUGUCUUAGCACGAAGAGCCAGACCAAGGUCAGGAUACUUCCAAAUUCAUCAAAAGGGGACUGGAAUUAACCACAGGCAGUGCAGGGCACUAUGUUGUCCCCAUGCAGCAGUAUCACAUUCCCCGUUGGGUCCCAUGUGUCAUCCAGAGCUGCUUGAUGUGCUGUGUUAUAAGCACAGGCUUUCUCUAUCCGAACCACACCAUAUGGGUGCCUCAUUCCUUUUACAUGCGGCUGCAGGUUUCCUGCUGCAUAUGCUCAGCCUCCCACAGCUGGAAGCAGUAAGAGGUAGUUUGAUCUACAUGUUAUACUCAGGAAGGAUUGAAGUUUGCAAAUUUUUAGCACUCUGCACGCUAGCAGGCCCAUAAUAAUCUUUAUUGGCGGGUUUGUUUGCUUUAUGGUUGCAAUUUUCAUCCUUCGAUGAGAAGCUUCCAGCACUUCCUGCAGGAGCAGAAGGCUAUUGUCACUUUAUCACUUCACAGUUGCAGAUCUCUGUCCACCACUCACUGGUCUGUGGUAAACAACAUCUCCAGCGUUGCUUCUGUCCGUCAAGGGAAAGGGUUGAGCUGGCAUUUUGCCACAUUUGGCAAGUGUGGGCUGAUACAAACGAUACGAGGUUUUUUUUAUAGUGCCUAUCACCAGAGUAUCAAAGCGCUGAAACACUGCUAGUCGUGUUUGCCUCCCCAUUGAUCUUAUCACCAAAGGCCAGUCCUACCAUCCGUCUUCCAUGUGGUAUUGCUUAGAGGCUUUGUUUUGUCAGAUAGGCUGCUCUGCAUCCAGUGCUGGGGUAGGCUCUAACUCUGGGAUCUGGUUCCAGGCUUUAAUUAGGACUGAUAGCAAAUGGGCUGUUCACAAAUGCUUUUUGCAAGAUGACUCCUGCACAGUCAGAAGCUCUCUUAAAUUCAUUUGUCUCAUGUAGUGAACUUUUCAUUGCUUUAAGAGGCCUACGGAUGCUGCAGGUGUUAAAACUGAGGUCAAAGUAUUCUACAUCAGGUGGAACCCACAUAGGCAACAUCCUAGAAACUAAUUUGUAAUAAGUCUGUGAUGUUCAGAACGAGAUGGUUCUGCCAAUCUGAGCUGACUGACUGUUUGUUCAUGAUCUAUAUAAUAGUUGCAUUAGACCUUUUAAAUUUCAAUAUAUUUUUAUGCUUUGGCACUCCCCAGACACAUUGAAAUAAAUCUUGUGCAUUUCUGCAUGUUGCAGCAACUGGGUAAGUGCUACUGUGGUCAGUUUUAAUAGGUAUUAAUACAGUAAGUAGCAAGCAAAUUAUAACUGUUUCACAUUAGACGUAAUUUUACAGCAGACAAUUUUAUAAGGAGAAUGGAAUGAAUCAAAUACAGUAGUUUGUAUUAAAAUAUCUUUUACAUUCCCUGUGUUCCAGUGGAACUGAUGACAAGUCUAAGGAAGCAUGCUAGGACAAACAGACCAGAAAAUUAAAUUCUUCUAGCUUUCAUAUGCCACAGCAGGAAUAAUUUGGCUUUUUUUUUCUUUCUUUCUCAGCCUUUCUUUCAAUUUUCUUUUUUGGAGAGAGGAUGACAAUGUAGUAUUACAUUUCCAAAUCCUAUAAAAAACCAUACAUUUUCAGUUUCAUACAACUAUGGUCUGGUUUAGUUCCUCUGGAUGGACUCUAAUGUGGUAUUCGUGAUAAUGUCAUUUACUUUGCAUGUGAAUAAAGCCAAAUGGUUACAGACAAGGCUUGAAUCUCAUAGCUCUGGAUCUUUGGGAAAUGUUUAUUCUCUCAAUUAAGCAUAUAUAUAUUUGCCAGAUGUACAAGGUCUCACAGCGUUUUUAUGUACACCCCAUGCUAAAAGAGUCUGUGCUCAAGCUCUAGAUCCCACUGAAUGCAGAGCACUUCAACAUGUGGGUGUCUUUGCACUGAGGCAUUGGCUGCUUUGAUCUCAGUGUUCUUCGUGAGUCAGGAGAUCACUGUGAAGGCUCUGAGGGACUUCGUGUCUGCUGGCAUCAGUGGGGCAUCCAGAUCAGAUCUUCCUUAGUAAGAUGGGAGCUUAUUCAGCCUGAUUUUCACUGUCCAAAGGUGGAGUGCCUUGCCUCGACUAGCUAUGAUCAAUAUGGAGAGAGACACACCUAUCAGGGAGCCAUUUAUUUCAUGCUUAUGUAUGAGAUAAUCAGUCUUAUUCAAGACCAGUGGGAGAACUGGCUCCUGUCUGUAUAUCACCUGUAAGGAGAGCCCAAACAACAGGCUUGGCUAGGUGACUACCAUUCAGAUAGCUGUGCUAUAGGGCUAAGAUACAGACAGGCUGCCACCUGGGUGGAGACAACCAUCUACAUGUGAUGCAUGUGGUGAUGGAAGUCACCAUGUUCUCAAGCCCUUUCUUUACCUUGGAGCAGACACAGCACUGGUCAUAAAUCAGCAGUAAAUAAAAUGCUAAAACUUAACAAGUUGAAAAGAAUAAUCAACUCAUGCUUACAUAGGAGUUACAUGAAAACUUCCUAAAAAUAUUUGCGUUAUGAAUCUGUCUAUCCCUGGUCUAGAGAGGUUCCAGCAGUC